AGAGAGGUGCCCUUGCUCCUGCGCCCUGGGAAGGGAACGAUACCGUUAAGGAAGCCUACAAACUGGCACCUGCGCGCGCGGCUCUCGGUGCCCCCGCGAACCCGAGGGCCAGAGCGGGCAGGGGCGGGCAGGGCGCCCACCCGACUGGGAGGACCGAGGCUGGGCUGCCGUCCUGCGGGCGGGCCCCGGGGAGCCGGCUGCCCCGCGGUCCCGGAAGGUCUGGGCGGCGGAGUUCCGCGCGGGCGCGGGCGCGGGCGCGGGCGCUCGUCGGCGGGGGCGGGAGCGCGGUGCCCGGCCGCGGAGGAGGCCCGGACCCACGGCAGGCACAGGCCCCGCGGGUGCUCCGGCGCUCCCGGCUCGCCCACCCCCGCCGGCCGCCUGGGCUUGGUGACGCGCCCGCGCCCCUCCCGGUGCCCCAGAAGUGCUCGCCUUCCCCCUGGGGCCGGCGCCUCCCGCGCCCCCACCCGCACGGUCCCGCGUUCUGCCCCCUGGCCCCGCCGCCCCCCGCACCUACCGGGCGGGGCCCGCGCUCCCCAGCAGGUGGCCCCGGGCCACGCGGCGUCCAGCGGGGCCGAGACGGAGGGAAGGCGGCUCAAACCCUCGGCCUCGCUUGUGCAAACAGUGUCCCUGCGCGCCCGCCCGCGCUGCCCCACCCGCGGCCCGCGUGCCCCAGCGGCUGACUGGGUGCUCGCGGCCCCACCCGGGCCCCUGGACGCGCUCCAGGCCCAGGCGUCGGCGCGGCCUGCUGCCCCAGGGGACCCCCCAGCCCGGGCACCCGGCCCCGAGCUGCCGCGUGUGGGGGCCAGGCCGCCGCCCCCCACCUGCAGCCCGCCGAGGCCGCCGCGCCCUCUCGGCCGCGGGACGCAGUGGUGUCAGCGGCCCGGGCCUGCUCCGCCGCGGGGCUCAAGGGCUCCUGCAAGCCCGGGCCUGCGGAGGCGGGAGGCCUCGGUCACAGGGACAGCCCCAGCAGGCCGAGUCAGCUCACCUCCCGGGUCGCCUCCCGACUCCCGGAGCUUACUCUACCCGCCCCGCCCCCGUUUGUUGACAUUAAAGUCAUUUAUCAGACACUCGGGCACUUGUCAGCACAGGCCACAAAGCUUUGUAGGGCAGAAUCAAGGAGGCGAAAGGCUGGAAAGAUGCAGGCUGCAAACAACAGACACGGGGGGAAAAAUGAAAGAACUCUGGAGAAAGGAAAGAAGGGGAGUGGCUCACACAGCAGAGAAAGCAAGAGUGCAUUUGGCUUCCAGAUUUUGAAGAAUCCUUAAUGGAGGAAGAAUUUCUGGUUCCUGGACAGUCUCCUGACCUAUUUCCAGGGACUGCAUGGCUUCAUCCAGGCUGCUCAUCACUGCGGUGGAGAGGAAAUCAUCAGAAUGAACAUUUUCUCUUUCAAAAGACUUCAUGGUUUCUAGGCUGAACAUCAUUGUGCCUCCAUAGCGUUUCCCUCGGGGCUUCGCCACCAAGAUGCGAAUCAGCCUUUUGGCGCCUCCCCAUGAUGAGGAUCUCAACCUUGCCCUCGGAGUUGGGCUCUCUCAUCUGGAGCAGGACCUUGAACUCCCGUUCGAACCCCGGGACGAGGGCUCUGCUUGGUCCGAAAAUCUUCUCCAGCAGACGGGCAUCCACAUGAAGCACGGAUGGCUUCAGAAAGUGCUUAAACCUACACCAGUACCGUUGAGUGUGGACAAGGAGCCAGUUCUUGGAGAGAGAAUACUUCUUGCUGGCUCCUGAGCCGUGCGAUCGGUGCAGGGUCUUCAUCACGAAGGGCGCCACUGCUGUACCCUGGACGGAAUCCGCAGGAAGAGACCGUUUUUAAUCUAUUUUGAAUUAAUUUUUGUGUAUGGUAUAAGAAAGUGGUCAAUUCUUUUGCACGUGGCUGUCCAGUUUUCCCAACACCGUUUAUUAAAGAGACUCUCCUUUCCCCAUUAUACAUUCUUGCCUCUUUUGUCACAAAUUAAUUAACCAUAUGCAUAUGGACUCUCUACUUCAUUCAUCUGUGUGUCUGUUUUUAUGCCAAUACCAUAUUGUCUUGAUUACUACAGCUUUGUAAUAUAGUCUGAAAUCCAGAAGUGUGAUGUCUCCUGCUUUGUUCUUCUUCCUCAUGAUGCCUUGGCUAUUCUGGAUCUUUUGUGGUUCCAUACAAAUUUUAGGACUGUUUGUUCUAUUUCUGUGAAAAAUGACUUUGGAAUUUUGUUAAAAAUUGCACUGAAUCUGUAGAUUGUUUUGGAUAAUGUGGCUAUCUUGACACAAGGAUUUUUUUUUAACACUAUUGAUACUUCCAGUUCAUGAGCAUGGCAUAUCAUUUUUUUGUGUCUUCUUUAGUUUCUUUCAUAAAUGUCUUACAGUUUUUAGUGUACAGGGUUUUGACUUCUUGGUUAAACUUAUUUCUAGGUAUUUUAUUCUUUUGGUUUUUUUUUAAAGAUUUAUUUAUUUAUUUAUUUAUUUAUUUAUUUAUUCAUGAGAAACACAGAGAGAGAGAGAGAGAGAGAGAGGGAGAGAGAGGCAGAGACACAGGCAGAAGGAGAAGCAGGCUCCAUGCAAGGAGCCUGAUGUGGGACUCCAUCCCAGGUCUCCAGGAUCACACCCUGGGCUGCAGGCGGCGCUAAACCGCUGUGCCACCGGGGCUGCCCUAUUUUAUUCUUUUGAUACAAUUGUAAAUGAGAUUGUUUUCUUAAUUUAUCUUUCUGAUAGUUCACUGUUAGUAUAUAAAAACACAACAGAUUUUUGUGCAAGCAUAUCUCACAGAUAUUGCAGGUUCAGUUCCAGACCACCACAAUAAAGUAAAUAUCACAAUAAAGCA
rnacentral:lncRNA from 12 species